rnacentral:rRNA from 1 species
GUAGUCCACGCCGUAAACGAUGGAUACUCGGCGUUCGGAGAGUUAACCCUCUGAGUGCCAAAGUUCACACAUUAAGUAUCCCGCCUGGGAAGUACGGUCGCAAGACUAAAACUCAAAGGAAUUGACGGGGGCCCGCACAAGAGGUGGAGUAUGUGGUUUAAUUCGAAGCAACGCGCAGAACCUUACCUGGUCUUGACAUUGUGAGACAUCCGCAGAGAUGCGGCUUUCCCUUCGGGGACUCAUAAACAGGUGCUGCAUGGCUGUCGUCAGCUCGUGUUGUGAAAUGUUCGGUUAAGUCCGGCAACGAGCGCAACCCCUGUUCUUAGUUACCAGCAUUAAGUUGGGGACUCUAGGAAGACUGCCGGUGUUAAACCGGA